UACGGGGGGGGCAAGCGUUGUUCGGAAUUACUGGGCGUAAAGGGCUCGUAGGUGGCCAACUAAGUCAGACGUGAAAUCCCCAGGCUCAACCUGGGAACUGCGUCUGAUACUGGAUGGCUUGAAUUCGGGAGAGGGAUGCAGAAUUCCAGGUGUAACGGUGAAAUGCGUAGAUAUCUGGAGGAAUACCGGUGGCGAAGGCGGCAUCCGGGACCGAUAUUGACACUGAGGAGCGAAAGCUAGGGGAGCAAACGGG
rnacentral:rRNA from 1 species